UCCGGUCACUUUUUACCCCGGCUUCUUUUGGACAGUUUUUUCCCCCACAAUUCCGACCACUCUGUCCUCCCGGAAUUUUCCCCUGGUCAGUUUCAUUCUCUACUCUUCACUUAGCCACCACAUCUUCUUCUCCCCACUGCUUAUUCACCCACAGCAGAUCUUGCUGCUGUUUAGAGGUCUGGAAUUCUUGCUUUUCGCCGGAAAUUCUUCCGGCAACUCCUGCUCUUUUCUUUUCUUUUCUUUUCUCUCUAUUCUCUCCUCUGCUUUUUGUGGGUGUGUUCUGUUUUCUUGGACAGGUGCCUAUUUUACAGGCGUGGAUUUUCGGCAAGACGCAAUACUCCCGGCGACUCUCGUUCAGACUCGCGGCAGAACGCAAUAGAUCUACACGUUCUGCUAAGCUUCAGGAAAACUUGGGCGCAUCGAAGCUGACUUUCAGGUUUUUCCAUCGGGAGUUGGUACCUCCCGCUCUCUUGUUUACUUUGUG
rnacentral:lncRNA from 1 species